rnacentral:rRNA from 1 species
GACGUAGGGCGCGAGCGUUGUCCGGAUUUAUUGGGCGUAAAGAGCUCGUAGGCGGCUUGUCGCGUCGAAUGUGAAAACUCGGGGCUCAACCCCGCGCUUGCAUUCGAUACGGGCAGGCUCGAGUUCGGUAGGGGAGACUGGAAUUCCUGGUGUAGCGGUGGAAUGCGCAGAUAUCAGGAGGAACACCGGUGGCGAAGGCGGGUCUCUGGGCCGUUACUGACGCUGAGGAGCGAAAGCGUGGGGAGCGAACAGG